UUUCACAAACCAAAACGAAUCAAAUAAACAUUCAGGAGUACAAUAAUUUCUGUCAGAUUUACCUCAGUUACUGAAUAAAUUUAGGAAUUGGGCUCUGAGGUAAACCGGAGCGCGAGAUGGUGCCGAGCGUCAGCUCACGUGCUGAAUUGACAUUUCAAAUUUUAACGGAAAAUUAACGAUUCAUUCAGAGCUAAAACGGUAAAAGCGAAGUCUUCUGUGUAUUUAGUUUAUUAAUUUAUUAUAAAAUAGCUGUAAUCGACGUAAAAAGAGAACAUCUUGGCUGGGCGCUCAACAGGUACCAUUGCAGUGUCUGAGGGAUAGAAGGACACUAGACGUGGAAGAAUACACAAGGGUUUUUCCACCACAGUUGGUACUCACCUGCUGAUCUUUGAGUAAGGACACCACGCUGCUGCGACUCUCCGGACGAGUGACGACGGCGUGAGCCGGAACUUUAGCUAAAUUACACGCCUCGUAAUUCUGAACCUCAUCGGUUUUACCCGGACAGACGAGCUGGAACUCGGAGGAUUUUAGCUUGGAAGCCCAGCCUGCUCCCUUACCUACAGGUCAAACAUUUACAUACAUGUAAGGAACACGUCUGUCAUGGUAAACGUUUCUGCAACCGUUCUUUUUCUGUGACUGAAUGACUAGAACACAUACCAUUAAAAAGUUCUUUAUUUA